UACGGAGGGUGCAAGCGUUGUCCGGAAUCACUGGGCGUAAAGGGCGCGUAGGCGGCUCAUGAAGGCUGUGGUGGAAGUCCGGGGCUCAACCUCGGAUCGGCCGUGGCGACUCGUGGGCUGGAGCACUGUAGAGGCGGGUGGAAUUCCGGGUGUAGCGGUGAAAUGCGCAGAUAUCAGGAGGAACACCGGUGGCGAAGGCGGGUCUCUGGGCCGGUACCGACGCUGAGGAGCGAAAGCGUGGGAGCGAACAGG
rnacentral:rRNA from 1 species